GCGGGUGGUCAGAUGGAGAACGAUUGGCCUUCCAAGCCGAUGCAGGCGAGUUCGACCCUCGUCGCCCGCUCCA
rnacentral:tRNA from 1 species